rnacentral:rRNA from 1 species
AGGAAAUUUGAGAGGAGCUGUCCUUAGUACGAGAGGACCGGGAUGGACGUACCGCUGGUGCACCAGUUGUUCCGCCAGGAGCAUGGCUGGGUAGCUACGUACGGACGGGAUAAGCGCUGAAAGCAUCUAAGCGUGAAGCCCCCCUCAAGAUGAGAUUUCCCAGUAUGUAAGACCCCUUGAAGACGACGAGGUAGAUAGGUUGGAGGUGGAAGCACGGCAACGUGUGGAGCUGACCAAUACUAAUCGGUCGAGGGCUUAUCCAA